GACGGAGCGCGGCGGGGGCUGCGCGGGAGCGGAGCGGGAACGGAGCGGGAGCGGGGACGGAGCGGAAACGCACCGGGAGCGGGGACGGAGCCGGGAGCGGGAGCGGGAGCCCGGUCUGGCGCGGCGGCCCCGUCGUGGGUGGCGGGAGGCUGCGGAGAAGGGAUUGAAAGCGCAGGAACUCAAACGCCACGGGAAGGCUGUUUUCCAAUACAAUGUUUGCUGCACUCCCCAAAGCACUGGAGAUCUACAGCUAUGACAAGAAACAGGUUUCUCUCUUUUUGUAAUCACAUGGUUACUUUGGUGAUGCCUCAAGUGCAACUCGGCCUUCUCUAGUGGUAACACGUGGCAGUCUAGCACCUACCUCUCCUGAGGCGUCAAAAAUUGCACCAGUGAAGAGGAGCCUUAACUAAACUUACCAGCAGGACUGUGCCGCUUGCACUGUGCCGUGACAUCCAACAGGUACGUUCUGUGCUCAGAGUCUCACUAAUGGGCUCCACACUUGCCAGCAGCAUGAGACUACACGUGAGAAAAUGGAGUAUCACUGGACAUUCCUCAUUUUAAUGGUAGUUCUGGAAAUGCUGAAAACUUUCUGCAUAAAACCAGAUGAGGGAAAGAUCCUUAGUGCUACAAUAAUAGUCUUUAACCCAAGGAUAUAACUUGUUUGGGUUAUUAUUGUUGGGGGUUUUUUUAGGAAAUAAUAUUUUCCAGCUUUUUUUCUGCUCCCUUGCAUUGUCCCUUGGAAGGCUGCUAAUAUUGCAGUGUCCAAGCCCUGAGUUUUGUUUGGCCCCUGCCAUUGAACACGUGUGAUGGUGGCCACAGUACUGCCAGGAGACACAGCAACACCCACAUGCACAUGAAGGAAAAUUACAAUAACAACUUUCCAAAGGAAUCUGCUAAUCAUUUUUGUUUUACCUUUUCAAAUGCUGCUGGUGACUCAGGCUUGACAUGACUCCCAUAAUCUUCACACAUAAUUAAGCAAUUUAUACCUUGUAUCUGUGGGUAGACGCUGCUGUCAACACUCAGGCCGGUUCUGGAAAUGGCUGAAUUGUUUUCUUGGGGAAAAACGAACUAACAAACAACAACCACCUCUUGCUUUCUGCCACCUUUGAUUAAAUAAUCUUAAAUAACAAGACUGUACAGUAGGGAAAUUUACUUGUGUGGGCCAUUGCUUUUGAAGCUGAUGUGACAGCUUGUUGCACGACUCUGUACACGUUCUUCCAUUUCACGGUGAUGAAUGCGAGAGAUGAGUGGAACGAGAAGUUUUUCACUUUUGUUACUCUAAACUGAUAAAAUGAGCUUUGUCGGCUGUGAUGUUACACUGAUAUCAGUGUUUCACACCUCAGUAGUCUGAAAGUGGCCACAGUGUCUGUGGGAUGGGCUGAGGAGCACCAGAGUGGACUCCAUACAAGCCAAACAGUUGCUGGCACCACUCCCACUGCAGCAUUAGUGUCAGAGGGAGCAGGGAGAAGUCCUGCUGCCCCCACAGGUUACCAUUUGCCUGUGUUAGCAGGAUAUUCUGAGGAAUACAUGUGUUGUCUUCAGUUUUCUGAACUUUUCUUGGAUGGAUAGGGUUGUCCCAAAUGUAUCUAUCAUCAAGGAGCCCUGCAAGGGCCCCAGGACAUGUAGACUCUGAGGGGGAAAUAGGAAACUUGUGCUGGGGGUGAAACAGGCUGCAGUGUCAAACCAGAAAUUUCAAAGAGAUCCAGACUCUGUAACACAUGGACAUGAAUUAAAUUGGGAAAAAUAUAGUGUUAGACUAAUGGAAUCCUCAGUUAGAAGUGAAAAAUACUCUUUGUUCUUCUCUUCCCCACAGUGAAAUAGGAUGGUUUCUUUCAUAACUGCACUGUCCAAACCACUUUUUAGACUUGUGGCUUAUUUCCAUUAUUUUAGCAAAGGUGUGUCUCAUUCUGCAUGUAAUAUUUGAAAUAGGGGAGACUUAGUAGCACUUUCCAGGUCAGCCAGUCAAUAACCACACAGACUACUAUCUUGAAAGAACAGCUCAUGCAAAGGGAGGAGAAAUUGAACACAGUUAAGAAAAUGCAGAUGAAACCCAGUUAUUGGGAGGAUUUUUCCAGUUGUUGGAUGCUGCAGAUGGUGGAAGAGUACCUCCAGAAAAUAUUGGUUCACUCUUCAUCCUGGCACAUGCUGAACUCAUCUGCACAAAGCAAAAGGAGACACUAGAAUUAAGUCAAGGAAUCAAACAGUUUUUAGUAGAAAAGCUCAUAGACCAUAUUUAGGUAUUUCUCCCCCAUUUUUUUCCCCUAUGUUUUGUUUUUUUUUUUUUUAAUGAGAAAAGCAGUUAUGUUAAAAACAUCAUGGGGAGUAAUUCUGAACUGGCAGAGAGAUGCGAUAGAUGAUUGAAUAGAUUCUUUCCAUCUCCACAUUUUGUGAUCUAUGAACUCACCUUCGGGAAACUUUUCUCAUUUCAGACUGAGUUUCACUCCCUUAGGGUUGUCUGAAGAAGGUGAGAUAUUUAACCUAAGCAGCAUUAACACUACCGCUGUGAUUUGGCUUUAAAAGUUAGCAAGAUGUCUCAGCCUGAAGAAGCCAUCACAGCGGGACUCUUCUCUUGUUUGCUUUCUUCCUUGAGGUCUCUCCACAAUACUUCCUGCUGGUGCUUCACACUGCAAGCCAGAGGUGCAGUCAGCUGGAUGUGCUUUGAAGCACAUGCAUCCUAAGGUGUGCUGCACCAAGUCCCCUCUGCCUUCCUUUAGCUUCCUGGCUUUGUUCCUCACAGGCUGAAAGCUCACAUGUGGGACACCACUUAAAUGUGGUGACUGGUGCAGUUUUUAAAGAAAAGCUCAUCUUUCUUCCCUGCAGUGGAUGGUCCUCUUGCCAAGGACUGUCCAGGUAUGUGUAAACCCUAAGAAGUUCUGCAGCUCCAUGCUGCUUCCAACACUAGGCUGGUGCUUAGUGAGCAUGGCAGUGUCCUUAGCCAGUAAUCCCAUUUAAUGGGGCUCAUUGUUAUGCAGGGGAACUGGGUGACAAGCAUCCAAGUAAUUGUUUUUAAAUGAGGAAUCUGCAGAGACCAAACAGCAAAUUAGGGGAGAGCCUUCAAAACUGAAAGGUGUGGAGGAUAGGACUGAAGUCACCCAAAGCAGUCCAAAGCAUUUGAUCAAGCACCUGGGAGUGAAGAGUGAGAAUAGUUUGUAGGAGUGACGGUCUGUGCACAUGUGGUGAUGUGGUGAUGAUAUUGUGAGGUUUGCAAAAGGAUCAGGGAGAUCCCCAGCUAUAGAGCAAGUGAUUUUCCUCUGGCUUCAUUCCAAUAAGAAUCACUUCUGUCAUAGUACCCAAGCAUUGCUUCUCCUAGGUUGGUUUCUUCUGGGUGGUUGAUUUUACUCCAAGCAGCUACAUUUAUAGCCAAAAUGUUUAAUUAAAUUUACAGCUCAGAGGAUGUAAGGAGGAAAUAAUGUGGAUAUCAGUUCAGGAAAAAAACCCAGUAACCUGGAAAUAGAGACGUAAGAGCACAUUCACUCAUUUCAGCUAGAACUGUUUACCAUCACAUGGUGCUAAGAGGACAGCAUCAGGCUGAUAUCUAGUGAUCUACAGGUUUUCUUUCUAUUCUCAUUAAACUUUCCAAAUUACAGACAGUGCAAACUUAUGUAAAUAACAAACAGUAUGUAAUACAUAACUAUUUUUGAUGUAAAAAUGACUCCUGGUGCCAAGAAACAAUUAAUAUUUGAAAAAGAAAAACCUCAGAAAAAUCUCAUUGCAUUUAUAUUUCUUUUCAGACUGGAACUUUGUGGCUUGGAGAAUGGAUACACUGACCUUUUGCUGGUGUGCACUUCAGCUCUUGCCACAGGCAUCUGAGUGCAAGGGAGCUCAGCUGUCCUCCCCAAACCCCGACACAUGCAGACUCCUGUGAUCAGGAGCCUAUGCUGGUCUUGCCACAGAUUUCCUGUGCGGUCUUGGAUAGGAAGGUGUCUGUGUGCCUCAGUUUUUCCAUCUGUAAAAUAAGAAUGAUGUUACACUGCUUCACCAGUGCAGCUAAAUUUCUGCUUUAAAAGCACUCUGUGACCUUUGGGUGAAUGGUGGUAAUGAGCUGUUUGCGUUAUUUAUAAGUAUCAUUUGCUGUGAUAUAAAUAUUUUUUUGUAUUGUUCAUACUGUGUUUAUUUUGUGCAAGUGAAUACAGUCCCAAUGAAAGCAGGAGACCGAGUAUUUUGCUUUCCCACGUAACUCAACCAGCGUUCCCAAAUUCUGAUCUCUAACACCUCUGCUAUUGCAGUCCUGGGCCUCUCUUGAGCAGAAACUGCUGAUCAUGCCAAAUUCUCUGGUGUUUUGUAAUGUGGGCUAACAUGGGCUGAGGUUUGGAUGAGACCAAUAGACUCAUUUUCACUUAGGGCCUGCAGCAGCACUGAAGCUGGAGUGAACAGAAGUGAAAGGUCAGUGUGUUCCCUUCCCUGAGCCACACAGCUCCUGUUUGAAAGCAAAUAAAAAUGUAAUAUGACUCCUAAUGUUUAUAAAUAUUUUUGAUAGCUUUAGUGCCUUUCUCCCAACUUUGCACUAAGAGGACAUCUAGAUGUUAUUACUGUUAUACAUUUGCAUUGUUUCUUGGAAGGUUUGCUUGAAAUAAAAACAACUGUAGACCUUUUA